rnacentral:rRNA from 1 species
UACGAAGGUGGCUAGCGUUGCUCGGAAUCACUGGGCGUAAAGCGCACGUAGGCGGAUUGCUAAGUCAGGGGGGAAAUCCUGGAGCUCGACUCCAGAACUGCCUUUGAUACUGGCGACCUUGAGUCCGGGAGAGGUGAGUGGAACUGCGAGUGUAGAGGUGAAAUUCGUAGAUAUUCGCAAGAACACCAGUGGCGAAGGCGGCUCACUGGCCCGGUACUGACGCUGAGGUGCGAAAGCGUGGGGAGCAAACAGG